rnacentral:rRNA from 1 species
AACGAACGCUGGCGGAAGGCUUAACACAUGCAAGUCGAGCGCUCACUUCGGUGGGAGCGGCAGACGGGUGAGUAACGCGUGGGGAUCUACCCAGUACUAGGGAAUAACACAGAGAAAUUUGUGCUAAUGCCUUAUACGCCCUUCGGGGGAAAGAUUUAUCGGUAUUGGAUGAACCCGCGUCUGAUUAGCUAGUUGGUGAGGUAAUGGCUCACCAAGGCUACGAUCAGUAGCUGGUCUGAGAGGAUGAUCAGCCACACUGGGACUGAGACACGGCCCAGACUCCUACGGGAGGCAGCAGUGGGGAAUAUUGGACAAUGGGCGCAAGCCUGAUCCAGCCAUUCCGCGUGAGUGAUGACGGCCCUAGGGUUGUAAAGCUCUUUCAACGGUGAAGAUAAUGACGGUAACCGUAGAAGAAGCCCCGGCUAACUUCG